rnacentral:rRNA from 1 species
UACGUAGGGUGCAAGCGUUGUCCGGAAUUAUUGGGCGUAAAGAGCUCGUAGGCGGUCUGUCAUGUCGGCUGUGAAAACCCGAGGCUCAACCUCGGGCCUGCAGUCGAUACGGGCAAACUAGAGUACUGCAGGGGAGACUGGAAUUCCUGGUGUAGCGGUGAAAUGCGCAGAUAUCAGGAGGAACACCGGUGGCGAAGGCGGGUCUCUGGGCAGUAACUGACGCUGAGGAGCGAAAGCGUGGGGAGCGAACAGG